rnacentral:rRNA from 1 species
UACGUAGGGUGCAAGCGUUGUCCGGAUUUAUUGGGCGUAAAGAGCUCGUAGGCGGUUUGUCGCGUCGGAUGUGAAAACCCAGGGCUCAACCCUGGGCCUGCAUUCGAUACGGGCAGACUAGAGUAUGGCAGGGGAGACUGGAAUUCCUGGUGUAGCGGUGAAAUGCGCAGAUAUCAAGAGGAACACCGGUGGCGAAGGCGGGUCUCUGGGCCAAAACUGACGCUGAGGAGCGAAAGCGUGGGGAGCGAACAGG